UUUCCUCGCAACUGGGGAGGCAAUCGAUCCGGCACCGGAUCUGAUCCGCAUUGAACACAGUUUCUCUCUCCCUAAGUGUCAUUAUAAAACGCACUGUCCCCCCUCUGUCAUUCCGUUUUGUUGUGCCACGGUGAUCCCUGGUCUCAGGUUACAGCAGUACAAAAAUAAGUCCAGUGAGUUUCACACAGCGAGGCGCCGUCUCCAGAUUUCGGAUCCGGGCAAAGCAAUCUCAGCACGUUGGGUCGCAUUUGUCUCGGAUGUCUGUCUCUAAGACUUCUGUCUCCAGCCCCACUACAACAGAGGGGUUUCAACUGUAUCGCACCCUUAUCAGCAGAUGGAGAUUUCUCAGGUGCCGUAGCGCGGGGCCAUGCACAGGUCACUGGUCUAGAGGGAAAAACCGGAGCACUGGAAUGACAUCACAUGCAACACCCACGCAGGGAACACGGGACGAGAGACCGGACGAAAAAACAUUAGCUGUCAACUUCUGCUGCCUGUGAGCACCGAAACACAGACGGGUCACUGCAUGAGGGGGAAGGGGUCAAAGGUCAUCGGCCUGCUGUCAGCCGACAGUGCCAAAGACCAGGGCUGUGGACAGAAUUUCACCGAUCCUAAGGACGUGAGUCCAAGUCGCCGAGUGCCUGAUUACUUUUUUUUCUUCCGUGUUAUUCCUUCAUUUUCAUGCUUUUCCAUCAAAUUCUCCCUUAACCUUUUUUGUUCCCAAGGGGAAGUUUGUCUCACAGGCAGGUAAAACACAGAACACUGAUUAUUAUCAUAUUGUCUGUUUUUUGUUUUGUUUGUUUUUUUCCCCUGCACCAUGCUCGAUACGCUGUUCCAUUUCUGCAAACUGCCAACCAAAAUUUUUUUGGUCUAAAACAGUCAACAGAGAAUGUGCAGUAACCUGAAACAUCGCUUCAUAUUUUAUAAACUGAUCAUUAUCUUUUGUUUAACUAGUAAAUAUAGCUGUCAAAUAAAUGAAGAUGCAUGAAAAGUGCUAAAAUAGUCAAAUUUAAAAAUUCUGCAUAUGGUCAAAACUCGUAAAUACUGUAAAUGCUGAUGACAACUGUGAAAUGUGGUUGAAAGCCUUGGAAAAAAGCUAGUAAGUGGACCUUAAGUUCUGAUUUCAAAGGUCAAGAGUUCACUCUCGCACUUAAUGACUAAUAGCACAUCAAUAAGGAGUUUAUGACAUACAAAUGAUGUAACUCUUGCGGUGUAGGUCCUGUUUCUCUCUUUUUUCCAAAAAUA